GCAUUGGUGGUUCAGUGGUAGGAUUCUCGCCUGCCACGUGGGAGACCUGGGUCUGAUUCCUGGCCAAUGCA
rfam:Danio rerio chromosome 4, GRCz11 reference primary assembly.